CGUUUUUCUUGUUAGAGAAGCUGUGUGAAGCUAAGGCUCCAUCUCCACCGUGUGUGCCCCGCCCGUGACACCUUCUGCCAAGGAUGGCCCACCACAGGAUGAUCAGGCCCGGGUGUGUGGUGUGCGGUGGCACCACGCAGUCGUUUGGCAGCCCAUGUUGCAUCUUUACCGUUCCAACCACAGCCAGUGACUGCUCUGAAGCCUUGUGGUAGACCCGGCUACAAACCCACCACAACCGACCUCCACUGGACACUCCUUCACAUUUCAGCCCCUCCUUUCUGCAUUAUCUACUAGAUCGGCAUAUCAGAAUCUCUUACGUUCAAAUGCUUCUUUGAUGGCAUCUUCCCAUGGGAUGGUCAGUUCAACGAUGAAGAAACACCAGCAAGAC